rnacentral:rRNA from 1 species
CAGCAGCCGCGGGAACACGUAGGGCGCAAGCGUUAUCCGGAAUUAUUGGGCGUAAAGAGCUCGUAGGCGGUUUGUCGCGUCUGCCGUGAAAGUCCGGGGCUCAACCCCGGAUCUGCGGUGGGUACGGGCAGACUAGAGUGAUGUAGGGGAGACUGGAAUUCCUGGUGUAGCGGUGAAAUGCGCAGAUAUCAGGAGGAACACCGAUGGCGAAGGCAGGUCUCUGGGCAUUAACUGACGCUGAGGAGCGAAAGCAUGGGGAGCGAACAGGAUUAGAUACCCGCGUAGUCCCUGUCUCUUAUAA